rnacentral:rRNA from 1 species
GGACGACAGGUGCUGCAUGGCUGUCGUCAGCUCGUGUCGUGAGAUGUUGGGUUAAGUCCCGCAACGAGCGCAACCCUUGCCUUUAGUUGCCAGCAGUUCGGCUGGGCACUCUAAAGGGACUGCCGGUGUUAAACCGGAGGAAGGUGGGGAUGACGUCAAGUCCUCAUGGCCUUUAUGACCAGGGCUACACACGUACUACAAUGGCCGAUACAAAGGGCAGCGACACUGCGAGGUGAAGCCAAUCCCGUAAAAUCGGUCUCAGUCCGGAUUGGAGUCUGCAACUCGACUCCAUGAAGUUGGAAUCGCUAGUAAUCGUGGAUCAGCAUGCCACGGUGAAUACGUUCCCGGGCCUU